rnacentral:lncRNA from 1 species
UACAUUUCUAAGAGCUCAAAAAAUUUUGAGACAACACAGAGUAAGCCAACCCACUUUCAUUUCUCUCCUCAACAUUUUGCUCUCAAAAUCACCUCCUCACCAUCUCAACAUACUCAUACACGUCUGACGGCCGGAUUCUGGUCUCACAUCUCCCGCUUUCAUCUGAGCCGUCCAUUUAAUGCCCAUUUCGUAUACGUGCAAACGAUAGGAGCUCACAACCAAUCGUGCAAAACUCAUCUGUCAUUGUUUUUCUUUUUCAUUUUAUUGGGAUUUUGAGAUUUCUUCAGAGCUCUCUCUGUUAUUUAUUAAUGGCGUCUGAGUUUCUAGUUCAACCAAUUAGAGCUCGUCAUGUCAUUUUGGGUAAAAUUGGGGGCAGAGGGUGCAAACCAAUCUUAGCAGCUCGUUUCAGGAUCAGGGGGCCUGCAACACACGGUAGGAUUUGGGUUUUCUGCCAUUAAAGCUUCAGAGAAAAGCUCUGCUAUAAUUGAUGAAGGAAAAGUUGAAAAGCAGGAUUUUGGGCAUUAUGGGGGGGUUGAUGAGGCCAAGGAAAAAUUGAAGCAGGCAUUACAAGGUGACGNNNNNNNNNNNNNNNNNNNNUGCUCUCUCUCUCUCUCUCUCUCUCUCUCUCUCUCUCUCUCUCUACAACACUUCACCAUCUGUGAUAUGUUCCUUUCGCAGCAAAUAUUAAUUGUUCAUUGUUCAUACCUGAUGGUCUCAUAGAGAGAGAGUGCGAGAUUGUUCUCACUUUUUGGCCUCAAGUUUCUCUUUUGAUAUACAUCGUCUACUUUUGGAGAGUUGUCGGCUCACUAAAAAUAUUGGUUUUGAUCCACUAUUCAAAGCUCGGAAAAACUUAUUCCAAAACAAAAUCUUGGCCGAUAUUUACGCCAUCGAGUUGGAGUUGUUUUGGUGCUCUAGUAGCUUUGUUUUUGAGUUCUUCUAUACUCUUGCAUCCCCAUGUACUUAGUGUAAGUCAUACCUUUUAUUAUCAUGAAAUCAAAGAAUAAUACUGAGAGUGCUACUAUUUCUGUACGUCUUGAUGGGAAUAAUUGCUGCUUGCGGUCUUUCCAAAUGAGAUGUUUUCUCAUGGGAUGGAAGUUAUGGGGCGAUAUUGAUGGCUCUGUUCCCCAGCCUAUGGAUGAAAAUGAACGUAGUGAUUGGUUUUUCAUAGAUAGUUCUAUUGUGACAUGGAUUAUGAACUCAGUUGAGUACAAAAUUGGGCACAACCUCAUAUAUCAAUCUAGUGUCAAAGCAAUGUGGGAUUAUUUACAGAAGAUUUAUUCUCAAGCUAAUACUGCUCGUCUGUAUACCCUUGAAUAGGAGAGCAUGAAGACACAACAAGGGAACUCAUCAAUUCAAGAUUAUUUUAAUACUUUUUCAGGUAAUACUUUUUCAGGUGUAUGGAAUGAGAUGGACUCGAUGGAGACAGAAUCACCCACUGAAGCUGUUACUAAAACACGAAAUCGGUCUCGUUUAUUUUACUUUCUUAUGGGGUUGCGAUCGAAGUUUGAAAGCAUGAGAGCAUCAAUCCUUCAUCGUACUCCCACUCCACCAUUAGAUGAUUACAAGAGGCUUCCCACAUGCCUUAGGGCGUUUUCAACAAUCAUUUAUUACAUCCGAACUUCUUACAAUAAUUGCAAAAAAUGUGUUUCUUGCAUCGAUCUGCCAUGUGGUCUCUUUGUUUGCAUAUGUAAUAUUGUACUUGGACACAAUUGGUAUCUUUGUUAGGGAAAUUAGACGUGGCUAAGGCCACAUCAGCAACAUCUUGUGAUGUGGAUUUGCAAACCCCAAGAGAGCCUAAGCGAGUUUCUUCAGCAAGGAGAUCUGAGAGGCAAAUCACAGUUGGGAUUUGGUUCCAUUGCCCCCAGAAAAGCAUGUCAUUGGUAGUAAAUGGGUUUAUAAAGUCAAGUUACGAGCUAAUGACACUCUUGAUUGGUACAAGACUCGAUUAGUUGCUCAGGGUUAUGCCCAAGAGCAUGGCAUCGAUUAUGAAGAAACUUUUGCUCCAGUUGCUAAGAUAACAAUUAUUCGUACUUUUAUUGCACUCGCAUCUAUUCGUGAGUGGCUCAUAUGACAGAUGGAUGGCAAAAAUGCAUUCUUUAAUAGCAAACUUCAAGAAAAAGUUUACAUGCGUUAAUUACCUGGGUUUGUUUAUCAAGAUAAGUCAUUGGUUUGUCGAUUUCAUAAAGCAAUUUAUAGUCUCAAACAAGCUCCCCGUGUAUGGUUUGAGCAUUUUCGGGAUGUCAUUCUUGCAACUGGCUUCACUCAAAGUAAACAUGAUCACUCCAUGUUUAUUUGUACCACAGCAUGGAAUUUGCAUUAUUUUAUUAUAUGUUGAUAAUAUUUUUAUCUGUGACAAUGAUUUCACUUCCAUCAAGGAUGUGAAGCUACGAUUACAAGAAGAAGUUCAAAUAAAGAAUCUUGGGAAAGAAUCUUAUUUUCUUGGCCUUGAGAUCUCUCGCUCUAAACGUGGUAUUUACAUCCAUCAACAAAAAUAUGAACUUGAUCUUAUUUCUAGUGCCCGCUUGAAUGAUGCGAAGGUUGUUGAUACACCUAUGGAGCUCGUCGGCUCCCUCAUCUAUCUUACUAUGACUCGCUCAGAUAUUGCAUAUGUUGUCCAUGUUGUGAGCCAAUUUGUUUCAGAUCCUUGACGACCACAUCUAUCAAUAGUUCAUCGAAUUUUAUACUAGGUUCGAGGUAUUUCCAUUCGUGGAUUAUUCUUUGACUCCACAUCCUCUUUAGAUCUCAGUGCAUAUGCAGAUGCAUAUUGAGCAGGUGAUCUAGACAAUUGUCAUUCUACUACAGGGUAUUGUGUGUUUUUUGGGUCAUCAUUAAUAUCAUAGAAGAACAAGAAACAUGACACUGUUUCCAAGUCAAGCACUGAAGCUAAGUAUCGUACUAUGCCCUCUGUUGCAAGCGAGAUUGUUUGGGUUCGUGCUCUUCUCAAUGAGUUUAGUAUAUCUAUUUCAAAUCCCAUACAUUUAUAUGCAGAUAACCAAAGUGUAAUUAAGAUUGCAUCUAAUCCAGUUUUUAUGAGCGAACAAAGCAUAUUAACGUAGAUUGUCAUUAUAUUCGUGAUCGCUAUCUUAAUGGUACAUUAUAUCUCCUUUAUGUUUCUUCUACUGUACAAACGACUGAUAUUUUCACCAAAUCUGUGACUUGGAGCCGCCAUGAUUUUCUAGUGAACAAGCUAAUGCUUUCCUCAUGUCCGCAUCAGCUUGAAGAGAGGUAAUAAUGUGUAUACAAAAUAAAAUGUAUAAUUUUCAGUUGUCUUUUAUUAUCAUUAUAUAUUUGUGUAGGGAUAAUAUGGUCAAUACUAAAUACGUAUUUGUAUAUAAACUCUUUUAGGGCUUCAUUCUUUGUUAAUAAGAAUUGAUCAAGAUAGUUUCUCUCUCUAGACUGUUCUUGAGCUCCCAAUCUUCUCUAAACCUAUCACGGGCCUGAUCGCAUAAAAACCGGGUAGCAUCUCUCUCUCCCCCCUUCUCAAAAAUUUUGUAUUCAGGUUAGGUGGAACCACACUCAAAAUUUUUUUUUUGGUAUAAAACUCUCUUUCUCUCUUUAUGUACAUAUCUAAGAGCUCAAAAAAUUUUGAGACAACACAGAGUAAGCCAACCCACUUUCAUUUCUCUCCUCAACAUUUUGCUCUCAAAAUCACCUCCUCACCAUCUCAACAUACUCAUACACGUCUGACGGCCGGAUUCUGGUCUCACAUCUCCUUCUUUCAUCUGAGCCGUCCAUUUAAUGCCCAUUUCAUAUACGUGCAAACGAUGGGAGCUCACAACCAAUCGUGCAAAACUCAUCUGUCUUUGUUUUUCUUUUUCAUUUUAUUGGAAUUUGGAGAUUUCUUCAAAGCUCUCUCUGUUAUUUAUUAAUGGCGUUUGAGUUUCUAGUUCAACCAAUUAGAGCUCGUCAUGUCAUUUUGGGUAAAAUUGGGGGCAGAGGGUGCAAACCAAUCUUAGCCGCUCGUUUCAGGAUCAGGGGGCCUGCAACAUACACUGUAGGAUUUGGGUUUUCUGCCAUUAAAGCUUCAGAGAAAAGCUCUGCUAUAAUUGAUGAAGGAAAAGUUGAAAAGCAGGAUUUUGGGCAUUAUGGGGGGGUUGAUGAGGCCAAGGAAAAAUUGAAGCAGGC